rnacentral:rRNA from 1 species
GCGGUAAUACGUAGGGUGCGAGCGUUAAUCGGAAUUACUGGGCGUAAAGCGUGCGCAGGCGGCUUUGCAAGACAGAGGUGAAAUCCCCGGGCUCAACCUGGGAACUGCCUUUGUGACUGCAAGGCUAGAGUACGGCAGAGGGGGAUGGAAUUCCGCGUGUAGCAGUGAAAUGCGUAGAUAUGCGGAGGAACACCGAUGGCGAAGGCAAUCCCCUGGGCCUGUACUGACGCUCAUGCACGAAAGCGUGGGGAGCAAACAGGAUUAGA